GCCGGUAGCCAUACAGUAUCACCCUGCAAAUCAUAACUGGCAACCCACUGAAGUUAAGCAGGUGUGAGCCUGGUCAGUACCUGGAUAGGAGACCUCUUGGGAAAAACCAAGGUUGCUGCUGUUA
rnacentral:rRNA from 1 species